UGGGGAAUUUUCCGCAAUGGGCGAAAGCCUGACGGAGCAAUACCGCGUGAGGGAGGAAGGCUCUUGGGUUGUAAACCUCUUUUCUCAGGGAAGAAAAAAAUGACGGUACCUGAGGAAUAAGCAUCGGCUAACUCCGUGCCAGCAGCCGCGGUAAUACGGAGGAUGCAAGCGUUAUCCGGAAUGAUUGGGCGUAAAGGGUCCGCAGGUGGCUGUGUAAGUCUGCUGUUAAAGAAUCUAGCUCAACUAGAUAAAAGCAGUGGA
rnacentral:rRNA from 1 species